UAACGUCCGUCGUGAAGAGGGAAACAACCCAGACCGCCAGCUAAGGUCCCAAAGUCAUGGUUAAGUGGGAAACGAUGUGGGAAGGCCCAGACAGCCAGGAUGUUGGCUUAGAAGCAGCCAUCAUUUAAAGAAAGCGUAAUAGCUCACUGGUCGAGUCGGCCUGCGCGGAAGAUGUAACGGGGCUAAACCAUGCACCGAAGCUGCGGCAGCGACGCUUAUGCGUUGUUGGGUAGGGGAGCGUUCUGUAAGCCUGUGAAGGUGUGCUGUGAGGCAUGCUGGAGGUAUCAGAAGUGCGAAUGCUGACAUAAGUAACGAUAAAGCGGGUGAAAAGCCCGCUCGCCGGAAGACCAAGGGUUCCUGUCCAACGUUAAUCGGGGCAGGGUGAGUCGACCCCUAAGGCGAGGCCGAAAGGCGUAGUCGAUGGGAAACAGGUUAAUAUUCCUGUACUUGGUGUUACUGCGAAGGGGGGACGGAGAAGGCUAUGUUGGCCGGGCGACGGUUGUCCCGGUUUAAGCGUGUAGGCUGGUUUUCCAGGCAAAUCCGGAAAAUCAAGGCUGAGGCGUGAUGACGAGGCACUACGGUGCUGAAG
rnacentral:rRNA from 1 species